UACGGGGGGGGCGAAGCGUUGUUCGGUGAAUUACUGGGCGUAAAGGGCUCGUAGGCGGCCAACUAAGUCGGAUGUGAAAUCCCCAGGCUUAACCUGGGAACUGCAUCCGAUACUGGAUGGCUUGAAUCCGGGAGAGGGAUGCAGAAUUCCAGGUGUAGCGGUGAAAAUGCGUAGAUAUCUGGAGGAAUACCGGUGGCGAAGGCGGCAUCCUGGACCGGCAUUGACGCUGAGGAGCGAAAGCUAGGGGAGCAAACGGG
rnacentral:rRNA from 1 species